rnacentral:rRNA from 1 species
UACGUAGGCAGCGAGCGUUGCUCGGAAUCACUGGGCGUAAAGGGUGCGUAGGCGGGUUUUUAAGUCAGAGGUGAAAUCCUGGAGCUCAACUCCAGAACUGCCUUUGAUACUGAAGAUCUUGAGUUCGGGAGAGGUGAGUGGAACUGCGAGUGUAGAGGUGAAAUUCGUAGAUAUUCGCAAGAACACCAGUGGCGAAGGCGGCUCACUGGCCCGAUACUGACGCUGAGGCACGAAAGCGUGGGGAGCGAACGGGAGUUAGA